CACGUAGGCGGAUUUGUAAGUCAGGGGUGAAAUUCCGGGGCUCAACCUCGGAACUGCCUUUGAUACUGCAAAUCUCGAGUCCGGAAGAGGUGAGUGGAAUUCCUAGUGUAGAGGUGAAAUUCGUAGAUAUUAGGAAGAACACCAGUGGCGAAGGCGGCUCACUGGUCCGGCACUGACGCUGAGGUGCGAAAGCGUGGGAGCAAACA
rnacentral:rRNA from 1 species